rnacentral:tRNA from 1 species
GCGGGAGUAGCUCAAUUGGUAGAGCGUCGCCUUCCCAAGGCGAAGGUUUUGCGGGUUCGAGACCCGUCUCCCGCU